rnacentral:rRNA from 1 species
GACGAACGCUGGCGGCGUGCUUAACACAUGCAAGUCGAACGUGAUUUUUGUGGAAAUUCUUUCGGGAAUGGAAAUGAAAUGAAAGUGGCGAACGGGUGAGUAACACGUGAGCAACCUACCUUACACAGGGGGAUAGCCGUUGGAAACGACGAUUAAUACCGCAUGAGACCACAGAAUCGCAUGAUAUAGGGGUCAAAGAUUUAUCGGUGUAAGAAGGGCUCGCGUCUGAUUAGCUAGUUGGAAGGGUAAAGGCCUACCAAGGCGACGAUCAGUAGCCGGUCUGAGAGGAUGAACGGACACAUUGGAACUGAGACACGGUCCAAACUCCUACGGGAGGCAGCAGUGGGGAAUAUUGCACAAUGGGGGGAACCCUGAUGCAGCGACGCCGCGUGAGCGAAGAAGGUUUUCGAAUCGUAAAGCUCUGUCCUAUGAGAAGAUAAUGACGGUAUCAUAGGAGGAAGCCCCGGCUAAAUACGUG